CCCCUCCUUCCUCUUUCCCCUCUCUCUCUCCUGUGUGUCUCCCGACUCCAGCGGCUGCGGCGGCGAUCUAGAGCCUUCUUGCUCCAUCCUUCUGUUCUCCACAGACCACAGGCAACUACGCUGCUCAAAGAAUCGAAUCAUGGAAGGAGGAGGUAGCACCACGCGCUUCUACCGCGGCACCACCACCACUCUCGCCACAAACCCCACUUCUGCUGCGCGAGCAGAAUGGGGCACAGAAAGGGGAUAGGGAGGCUGCUGUUGAUGCUGAGAUAGCGCGGGUUAACAAGCUACCAGCCCAUAGCUCCUAUGCUAUACACCGCAUGAAGGUGCUAAACAAACUUCGCCAUCUGUUGUCUAUCAAGAGGACCACAUCUCAAGAUGAGGAGCUCGAACUUCUUUUUGCAACCCUUUCAAUCUGAAGUGUAUUCCUGAUAAGUCAAUAUUUUAACCCUACUAGGUGAGUGCACUGUGCCCGCUGUUCCGUUGUUUACACCUACAGCAUAUUUCCAAUAAUUUUCGAGUCCAAGGAGAUCCCUUUGAUUCCUGUAACAGAAGUUGUGGGGAACCUUGCUUGAGGGUGUGGCGUGCUAUGUUCCUCUUGACCUGGACGAUAUAGAAUGGUGAAACUAUAUAAUGUACAAAUGCUCAGUUGUAUUCAAAAUGGAUGGUUGUAACCAUAACUGAGGUUGCUCUUAUUGAUUAGUAUAACUUUGCUAAAUAACUAUGGUAUCGGUUGUUGCCUUAUUGGAUUCGAUGUUCAUUUUUCA